AACUUAUGGGAAAAGAGGGGUAGAAAACUAUUCUGUCUCCCCACGUAGAAUCAUUUGAGUUGGAAGAGACUCAGAAUGUUCAUAUAGUCCCCUGUAAUGAACAGGAACAGCUACAGUUCAAUCAGGUUGCUCAGAGCCCCAUCCAGCCUUGAGUGUCUCCAGGGAUGGGACAUCCACCACCUCUCUGGCCAGUCUAUUCCAGUGCCUCACCACACUGCCAAAAACUUUCCUUAUAUAUGAUCUAGAUCUCCUCUCUUUUAAUUUGUAACCAUUUCCCCUUGUCCUAUUGCAACAUUCACAGCUAAAGAGGCUGUCCCUUUCUUCCAGAAGCCUUACAGUAACUUAAGAAGAGAGACCUCGGUCAUAACUCAUCCAAAGACCAAACGAGCAUGGCAAACCUUCCUUGCUGCAUAUGACUCACCCUUCACUUCUGCCCAUAGUUCCCUUAUCACAUAAGAGAUGCUACUCAUUCAGCUCUGAAAGGUAGUGCCUUGGGCUUCCUCUUGAUACCAUCCCACUGACUGGGUGUAAGUAGGCAGUGGAUGGCUUUAAUUUACUGACCAGCUGCACCUGGUUUCACAGUCAUUUGAAGGGAGAAGUGGAGACACGUUAGUACUGUCUUCUAGUUAAGGACCUUGAGUAGAGUAGGGAGAAUCUUCAGCUACAGAAAGCUGAGGGUAUUUUUGUUUCUCAUGUUAUAAGGACGGGAUUCGAGACUGGAUUCUGCAGAGAGCUACAGUCCCUCUUAAAGAAAGCUAUAGGUGACAGCUAAAGAUAUUUUGUGGCUCAAGGUGAAAAAGGCAUAAAUUUUGCUGCAUCUCAGCAAAGCAGUUGAAGAGGGGAUUCAGUCUUGAACUUUAAUCAUUAAAGGAUCUGCAAUGAGAGAUACUGUGACACCAACUGCUAUCAGUUUAGCAUGCAUGGGGAUAUGUGAAAGAAUAAGAAAUUUCCUUCAAUUCAAACCACACUUUUGUGGGUUCUUCAGACAAGAUGUGUCGCCAGAGCCCCACCACAGUCUGCUCCAGUACAUAGAUUUGUGUUUGUGUCUUGAAUUUGUGGAAUCAAGAGUUGCAUGGAAAUGAUCAUGAGUCAUAGAAACUCCUUAUUCUUCUAAUAAACAGCUACAGUGAGGUGGAGGAAAACA
rnacentral:lncRNA from 1 species